CGGUACCGGUAGAGGCAGUGG
rnacentral:misc_RNA from 1 species